CGACCGGCGCACGGGUGAGUAACGCGUAUCCAACCUGCCUUACACUCUUGGACAGCCUUCUGAAAGGGAGAUUAAUACAAGAUGUUAUCAUGAGUAAGCAUUUUCGCAUGGUUAAAGGUUUACCGGUGUAAGAUGGGGAUGCGUUCCAUUAGAUAGUAGGCGGGGUAACGGCCCACCUAGUCUUCGAUGGAUAGGGGUUCUGAGAGGAAGGUCCCCCACAUUGGAACUGAGACACGGUCCAA
rnacentral:rRNA from 1 species